UCCUCUUCCUCCGCUGCCUCCUUCAAGGGUUGCUGCUGCUGCCUCUUCCUACUCCUCACCUUCCUCCAAAUUGUUAACUCAUAUGAACACAUUGCAUCUUUGUUAACAUUUCAACGACUGAGGCUUCCUCCAAGUGUUUAACGUUGGGAACUUCAGAGUGGAACCACCAGGGUUAUUUCGUGGCCGAGGAGAGCAUCCAAAGAUGGGAAAACUAAAAAACAGAAUUAAGCCAAGAGAUAUUACAAUCAAUAUAGGAAAAGAUGCACCAAUUCCGGAAUGCUCAAUACCUGGUGAAAGGAUUAUAUACAAAAUAUUUGAAGAAACUAUACAAGAGAUUUUAAUAGUAAAGAUCCAACAAAGCGGCAAAUAGCAGUGGCAACUUACCUUUAUUGAUAAGCUGGCUCUCAGGGCAGGCAAUGAAAAGAAAUUGAUGAGGUGCGAUCGGAGUUGGCAGAAUGUAUACAAGAUCAUGUUUAUGAGUAGGUGUGCUCAAGUUUAUGUAAGUUCAUUACCAUGUUUUAGCUAAAGUUUAUGUAAGUUCAUUAUCUUUAGCAAAAAGCAACUUCUUACUUCUUUGGAAUCCAUUUUCAUCUAUGCUUGUCUUUCCCUUCCAAUGCUUAGUACAUCUUAUGAGAUGCAAUCUACCCUUGUUAGUUUUUUCCUAUACUCUUAAAGUUAAAGAAAUGUUAUGAGAUUCACUACUUGUCUUUCUAAUUAUCUUUUCACUAC